AGAUUAUGGAGCUGUGCGACAAGCGGUCGGGUGGCUUCGCCAUUCACGGGCGCRCUCGUUCCCCCUUUGGGRGGGCAGUCGUCGCCUUUGUGGGAAUUCGGUGGCGGCKUUCGGUMGACUUCCGUCAAUUCACACCGUCCAGGAAUGAAGGAGGGUAGUUCGGGGGAGAACGUAAUGGUGCGUCAGAGGUGAACUUAUUGGACCGCMCCAAGACGAACUACAGCGAAGCCCUUAGUCAAGGAUCACYUCAUCAAUCAAGAACCAAAGUGUGGGGAUCGAAGAUGAUUAGGGGUGGGGGUCGACCACACUKCAAACGAUGACACCCACGAAUUGGGGAGGUUUACGUCGUAGGCGAGGGCGGGUUCUGCUCGCACCUCAGCUCGGCAACGACUAUUAAUUUACCUGCCUAAUSUUUUUGAACCUCGCAASRGRUUCUUUUACGGGAUCGCMAGGGGGCCUUUUACGGGAAUAUCCUCAGCACGUUAUCUGACUUCUUCACGCGAAAGCUU
rnacentral:rRNA from 1 species